rnacentral:lncRNA from 1 species
GCGCUCCCGGGGAAAGCAGUUUGUGCUCAGUGCGUUCUGCAGCAUAAGGAAUCCUAACGCGAAUCCGUGAACAGUCUAUUCCGACGGCGCAGAGAAAUCUCACGCGGGGAUCCCCACGAUGUGCCGGCGCUUAACGCAGACGCCCGAACCCAGGGGAAGGCUGCGACUCCGCGAUGAGUGACAUGCGGGCUUGAGACGUUCUAAAGGAACGUGGACCGAGUUAGGGAACGUAACUGAAGCUCAUUUUGUCUUAGUUAUGGACUAUGAGUCCUUAAUAAAUGUAUGUCAUUAUGUUUAAAGAAUGACAAAUGUCUGCAAAGAGUGGUCCCUGUCCCAAAAAAAAAAAAAAAAA